rnacentral:tRNA from 1 species
GCCUGGCUGGCUUAGUCAGUAGAGCAUGUGACUCUUGAUCUUGGGGUGGUGAGUUCAAGUCCCAUGUGAGGCG